UCCAUGAGCAGGUUGAAGCUGUGGUAACACAUAGUGGAGGACCGAACCCGUUGACGUUGAAAAGUCUUGGGAUGACUUGUGGAUAGGGGUGAAAGGCCAAUCAAACUCGGAAAUAGCUCGUACUCCCCGAAAUGCAUUUAGGUGCAGCGUUGAUUUAGUUUUAUAGAGGUAGAGCUACUGAUUGGAUGCGGGGGUUUCACCACCUACCAAUUCUUGACAAACUCCGAAUGCUAUAAAAUGAUGAUCAGCAGUGAGGGCAUGGGUGCUAAGGUCCAUGUCCGAGAGGGAAAGAACCCAGACCAUCAGCGAAGGUCCCAAAAUGUAUGUUAAGUUGAUUAAACGAGGUUGAACUGCCCAGACAGCUAGGAUGUUGGCUUGGAAGCAGCCAUUCAUUUAAAGAGUGCGUAACAGCUCACUAGUCGAGCGGUUCGGCAUGGAUAAUAAUCGGGCAUAAACAUACUACCGAAGCUAUGGACUUGUAAAAGUGGUAGGGGAGCAUUGUAGUGUCGUUGAAGGAGAAAUGUGAGUUUUUCUGGAGAGACUACAAAAGAAAAUGUAGGCAUAAGUAACGAUAAUGCGGGCGAGAAACCCGCACACCGAAAGACUAAGGUUUCCUCAGCUAUGCUAAUCAGCUGAGGGUUAGUCGGGACCUAACGCGAACCCGAAAGGGGUAGUGGAUGGACAACAGGUUAAUAUUCCUGUACCUGCUCACAUUAAACGUGACGGAGGCGUGGAUUUGGUGCGUACUGACGGAAUAGUACGUUGAAGCCAGUGGUAACACGGCAAUAGUACACUGAAACUUCGGUAGAUGUGAUAAUCCAGAGUAACGACUUCCAAGAAAAACAAGUGAAGCAGCCCGUACCCCAAACCGACACAGGUAGUUGGGAUGAGAAUUCUAAGGUGCUCGAGUGAUUCAUGGCUAAGGAACUAGGCAAAAUCGACCCGUAACUUCGGGAGAAGGGUCGCCCAUCUUCGGAUGGGCCGCAGUGAAAAGAUCCAGGCGACUGUUUAUCAAAAACACAGGGCUAUGCUAAAUCGAAAGAUGAUGUAUAUGGCCUGACACCUGCCCGGUGCUGGAAGGUUAAGUGGAGGGUUUAGCUUCGGCAAAGAUCUGAAAUGAAGCCCCAGUAAACGGCGGCCGUAACUAUAACGGUCCUAAGGUAGCGAAAUUCCUUGUCGGGUAAGUUCCGACCUGCACGAAUGGUGCAACGAUCUGGAUACUGUCUCGGCCAUGAGCUCGGUGAAAUUGUAGUAUCGGUGAAGAUGCCGAUUACCCGCAAUGGGACGAAAAGACCCCGUGAACCUUUACUAUAGCUUAGUAUUGGCUUUGGAUAAGUAAUGUGUAGAAUAGGUGGAAGACUUUGAAGCGACAUCGCUAGGUGUUGUGGAGUCGACCAGUGAAAUACCACCCUUUGCUUAUCUGAAGUCUAACCUUCAACAAGGGACAGUGCUUGGUGGGUAGUUUGACUGGGGUGGUCGCCUCCAAAAGAGUAACGGAGGCUUCUAAAGGUUCCCUCAGCACGCUUGGUAACCGUGCGUAGAGUGCAAUGGCAUAAGGGAGCUUGACUGAGAGACUGACAAGUCGAUCAGGUACGAAAGUAGAGCAUAGUGAUCCGGUGGUUCCGUAUGGAAGGGCCAUCGCUCAAAGGAUAAAAGGUACUCCGGGGAUAACAGGCUGAUCUCCCCCAAGAGCUCAUAUCGACGGGGGGGUUUGGCACCUCGAUGUCGGCUCGUCACAUCCUGGGGCUGGAGAAGGUCCCAAGGGUUGGGCUGUUCGCCCAUUAAAGUGGCACGCGAGCUGGGUUCAGAACGUCG
rnacentral:rRNA from 1 species